UACGUAGGGGGCGAGCGUUGUCCGGAAUCAUUGGGCGUAAAGCGCGUGUAGGCGGCUCUUUAAGUCCGGUGUGAAACCUUGGGGCUCAACCCCAAGCCUGCACUGGAUACUGACGAGCUCGAGUCCGGGAGGGGAGAGCGGAAUUCCUAGUGUAGCGGUGAAAUGCGCAGAUAUUAGGAAGAACACCAGUGGCGAAGGCAGCUUACUACGGAUCGAUUGACACUGAGGCACGAAAGCGUGGGGAGCAAACAGG
rnacentral:rRNA from 1 species